CUGAGGCAGGAGAAUCCCUUGAACCUGGGAGGUGGAGGUUGUAGAGAACCGAGAUUGUGCCACGGCACUCCAGCCUGGUGACAGAGUGAAACUCUGUCUCAAAAAAAUAAAUAAAUAGAAAUAAAAAUAGUUAUUUUAUGCAGAAGAAAAAAAACUGGAAGGAAAUAUGACAAAAAGCUAGAAAUGGUUGCUUGUGACAGAUGGAAUUAUGGGUAGUUCUAUUUGCUGCUGCUUUAUACUUUUCUUGCAUUUUUAAAGUCUUGUGCAGUGAGUAUGUAUUACAUAGAUAAUCAUUUUUUAAAAGAAAAAAACCUCAGAGGUAUUUACACCUAAAUGUAAGAAAGAACUUAAUUAAGCUAGUUCAUUUUAAUAUUUUUAAGGAAGGGCUGCAUAUAGUGACUUUCUUUCAAAGAGUACAAUAUGGAAAAGGGGGAUGGGGAGAGCAACUCGACAGUGGAGAAGCCUGACAAGAACUACCUCAGCCAGGUGAUCAAGGUCAGCACCACUAGUCAUAAGUCAUAUUGAUAGUAGGUCUUGGUACAAUCUGAUGAAAAUGGCAAGUUCAUUAAAACUGGGAAAGCUGAGAAACUGUCACAGCCAAGAAGAGCCACAGGAGACAUGAUGACUAAAGGUAAUGUAUUCUGGAUGGGAUCCUGGAACAGAAAAGAAAAAGGACAUUAGAUAAAAACUAAGGAAAUUGGAUCGGUUUGUUAAUAAUAACAAUCAUAAUAUUGUAAAAUGUGAUAAUAGGGGUCUAUGGAAACGCUCUACUAUCUUCACAAUAUUUCUGUAAAUCUAAAACUGUUCUAAAAAAGUUUUUUAAAGUUUCAUCUUAGAAUGGGCGUGGUGGCUCAUACCUGUAAUCCCAGCACGUUGUGGGGCUGAGGAGGGCAUAUCACUUGAGGUCAGGAGUUCAAAACCACCCUGGCCAACAUGGUGAAACCCCAUCUCUACAAAAAAUACAAAAAUUAGCCAGGUGUGGUAGUGGGCACCUGUAAUCCCAGCUACUCAGGAGGCUGAGGCUGGAGGAUUACUGGAGCCCAGGAGUUGGAGGUUACAUGAGCUAUGAUCCCGCCACUAUGCUCCAGCCUGGACAACAGCUGUAAGAUGUUUUCCAAAGGGUCACAUAACAUCAUUCCAAGACACUGUCCUAAUUUUAUAACUGAGAAAAACAGACAUUUCCCAUCACUAAUUUUUAUAUAAAUUAUAUAUGUGUAUGCAUUUAAAUAUAUGGUAUGUAAAUGUAUAGCUAUGUCUACAAAAGUUAAGGACCAUAUGUCUAUAAUGAACAGUAGAGUAAGUAAGGAGGUGGGCAGGUGGGCAGGAUAGAAAUAUACAAUGUAAUUUUUCUGGGGGGAAAAAAAACAGAUCUCCAGGGGUUUUGCCAGUUAGUAAUGCUGUUAUUAGUAGGCAAUGGCCUUCUUUGUGUCAACAGUGUACAUUCCAAGAGAUUUUGAAUAAAAUAUAGAGCAUACCAUCAGCAUUCAGAUCUAAGAUUAAAUUCUUGUAUUGCCAUUGCCAUGUGACAUCAGAUUUUGUGAUUUUUCUAAGCCGG
rnacentral:lncRNA from 1 species